GACGAACGCUGGCGGCGUGCCUAAUACAUGCAAGUCGAACGAACAGCGACUUGAACUUGUUCAAGUCAAUGUUAGUGGCGCACGGGUGAGUAACACGUGGAGAACCUACCCUUAAGCGGGGGAUAACCAUUGGAAACGAUGACUAAUACCGCAUAGAAUCACAGAUCACAUGAUCAAUGAAGGAAAGACGGCUUCGGCUGUCACUUAAGGAUGGCUCCGCGGUGCAUUAGCUAGAUGGUGGGGUAAAGGCCUACCAUGGCAAUGAUGCAUAGCCGACCUGGGGGGGUGAUCGGCAACAUGGGAACUGGAAACCGCCCCAAACUCCUAGGGGAGGCAGCAGUGGGAAACUUUCCGAAAGGGAGGCAAGUCUGCCGGGCAAACGCGGCGUGGGUAAAGAAGGUCUUCGGAUCGUAAAGCCCUGUUGUAAGGAAAGAAGGACGGGUAGAGUAAUGGUUACCGGGGGGCCGGUAUUAAACAAGAAACCAACGCUUACUUCCGU
rnacentral:rRNA from 1 species